rnacentral:rRNA from 1 species
UACGUAGGGUGCGAGCGUUGCCCGGAUUUAUUGGGCGUAAAGGGCGCGUAGGCGGCCACGCACGUCCGUUGUGAAAUCGCCCGGCUCAACUGGGCGGGGUCAGCGGAUACGGUGUGGCUAGAGCAAGCUAGGGGGCAAUGGAAUUCCCGGUGUAGUGGUGGAAUGCGUAGAUAUCGGGAGGAACACCAGUGGCGAAGGCGGUUGCCUGGAGCUUUGCUGACGCUGAUGGCGC